CACUCCAGGUUUCUCUUCAGAUCGUAUAAAUCUUUAGCCUUUUACUAAAAGAUUUCCGUGGAGAGGAGCAAUAUGAGUUUCAACCAAUUUUUGAUGUUCUGCCGUGGGGUGGGGC
ensembl:snRNA U5 U5 spliceosomal RNA